rnacentral:rRNA from 1 species
UACGGAGGGUGCGAGCGUUGUCCGGAAUCAUUGGGCGUAAAGGGCGCGUAGGUGGCGGCUUAAGCGUGCGGUGAAAGCUCGGGGCUCAACCCCGGGUCGGCCGCUGCGAACUGCAGAGCUGGAGCACUGUAGAGGCAGGUGGAAUUCCGGGUGUAGCGGUGGAAUGCGUAGAGAUCCGGAAGAACACCGGUGGCGAAGGCGGCCUGCUGGGCAGUGGCUGACGCUGAGGCGCGACAGCGUGGGAGCAAACAGG